rnacentral:rRNA from 1 species
AGUGAACGCUGGCGGUAGGCCUAACGCAUGCAAGUCGAACGGCAGCACAGUAAGAGCUUGCUCUUACGGGUGGCGAGUGGCGGACGGGUGAGGAAUACAUCGGAAUCUACUUUUUCGUGGGGGAUAACGUAGGGAAACUUACGCUAAUACCGCAUACGACCUACGGGUGAAAGCAGGGGAUCUUCGGACCUUGCGCGAUUGAAUGAGCCGAUGUCGGAUUAGCUAGUUGGGGGGGUAAAGGCCCACCAAGGCGACGAUCCGUAGCUGGUCUGAGAGGAUGAUCAGCCACACUGGAACUGAGACACGGUCCAGACUCCUACGGGAGGCAGCAGUGGGGAAUAUUGGACAAUGGGCGCAAGCCUGAUCCAGCCAUACCGCGUGGGUGAAGAAGGCCUUCGGGUUGUAAAGCCCUUUUGUUGGGAAAGAAAAGCAGCAGGUUAAUACCCCGCUGUUCUGACGGUACCCAAAGAAUAAGCACCGGCUAACUUCGUG